AGCUGGUCCAAAGGUAGUGAGUUAUGUCACUUGAUUGUUCACAGUCAGUUACAGAUUGACCUCCUUGUUCUCGCCUUUCUCCUCUUCUCACUACUGCACUGGACUAGUCUAAA
rnacentral:Y_RNA from 1 species